CUGUCUUCCAGCUGGACAUCGGGUGCUGUGGCUGCAGGACCUCCAGUCGCCCACCGACAUCAUCCCCGACGAUGUCAAGAUUGAGCGGCUGAACUACCGGCAGCUCUCGCGAGCCACCGGCAUCUCGCUGCACGUGGUGCAGCGCUGCGUGCGAGAGACCGUCCUCUUGUACUGUCACCAUCCUGAGGAACAAGGCGCACGUCUCAUUCGCCUUCAAGAACAUCGGCGUUAUGACGUACGAGGACGACUUCCUCUGCAUGAGGUUCUUGUCCAGCUGCAUUACAACGCUGGAGAGCAAUGCCAGCCUGACUGCACUGCUCCACACUAGAAUUUGGCCGGCCCGUUCUGCUGACUUCGGGUCAGAGACUAC